AUUUCUUUGUAGUGCUCCACAAAGUGCACUUCCAGUCCUUCUGUGAUGAACGACGCUAGAUCGUAGUAAUCCUUCUUGUUCUCGGCUGGGAGGAUCACACAAGUGACACCGGCUCUUCUGGCCUGGAAAUGGAAACAAGGCAGACAUUGGAUGAUCUUUCCCGGCAUGGCUCCGACGUAGGUCCUCCUAGGGGAGAGCGGGAGACCCCGGCCUGUCAGUAUGUCCCCGAGACUUCUCCUCGCUGCACAAAGAAUGCCUUCCGCUAGCCUCUCGUCUAACUCUGGCAUCCUCAGCCCUCCUUGCCUGUCACCACUGUCUCCAGAACAGGAUGCCUUCCCCAGGGGAAAUGGCCUGGGAUGGCUAGAAGCCUUCCUUCAUCGCGGAACCUCAGAUGAAAGCUGGGGAGCUGGGAUUCUAGUCCUUGAGUGUUCCAAUCAGAGCUGUUUUUAGUCAAAAAUAGCCAUCCGA